rnacentral:rRNA from 1 species
UACGGGAGCAGCAGUGGGGAAUAUUGCACAAUGGGCGCAAGCCUGAUGCAGCCAUGCCGCGUGUAUGAAGAAGGCCUUCGGGUUGUAAAGUACUUUCAGUCGUGAGGAAGGUGUUAAGGUUAAUAACCUUAGCAAUUGACGUUAGCGACAGAAGAAGCACCGGCUAACUCCGUGCCAGCAGCCGCGGUAAUACGGAGGGUGCGAGCGUUAAUCGGAAUUACUGGGCGUAAAGGGCACGCAGGCGGUUAAUUAAGUUGGAUGUGAAAUCCCCGGGCUUAACCUGGGAAUGGCAUUCAAGCUGGUUAGCUAGAGUCUUGUAGAGGGGGUAGAAUUCCAUGUGUAGCGGUGAAAUGCGUAGAGAUGUGGAGGAAUACCGGUGGCGAAGGCGGCCCCUGGACAAAGACUGACGCUCAUGUGCGAAAGCGUGGGGAGCGAAACAGGGAUUAGAUACC